rnacentral:lncRNA from 1 species
GUCAUCCCCAUUUUAUCCAGAAGGAAACAGCUUCGUAACGGUUAACUGGCCCAAAGCCACACAGCCAGAGCGGACGUGAGCAUCCCCUACCUCCAACCCCAGCCAAUGGAUGUUCCGUGUCUUCAGGGGCUAUUGGCGCUCCCUCCAAGGCUCCAGGAAGCUCUUCUCUGAGACCGACUUCUGGGGGCUGCACAGCCCUCGGGGGUGGAGAGCAGGACAAGAUAUUGAGGAUCUGGACUGUAGAUGUCUUGCGAAGUUGUGUCCAAAUAAACAAAGGAUUUGACUGAGAACUUCUUACCCGUCUUCAUCCACCACACAAUGAUU